rnacentral:rRNA from 1 species
AGAUUGAACGCUGGCGGCAGGCCUAACACAUGCAAGUCGAGCGGUAGAGAGGUGCUUGCAUCUCUUGAGAGCGGCGGACGGGUGAGUAAUGCCUAGGAAUCUGCCUAGUGGUGGGGGAUAACGUUCGGAAACGGACGCUAAUACCGCAUACGUCCUACGGGAGAAAGCGGGGGACCUUCGGGCCUCGCGCCAUUAGAUGAGCCUAGGUCGGAUUAGCUAGUUGGUGAGGUAAUGGCUCACCAAGGCGACGAUCCGUAACUGGUCUGAGAGGAUGAUCAGUCACACUGGAACUGAGACACGGUCCAGACUCCUACGGGAGGCAGCAGUGGGGAAUAUUGGACAAUGGGCGAAAGCCUGAUCCAGCCAUGCCGCGUGUGUGAAGAAGGUCUUCGGAUUGUAAAGCACUUUAAGUUGGAGGAAGGUUGUAACCUAAGUACGUUGCAACUUUGACGUUACGACAGAAUAAGCACGCUAACUUCGUGCCAGCAGCCGACGG